UACGUAGGAGGCAAGCGUUGUCCGGAAUUACUGGGUGUAAAGCGCGUGUAGGCGGCAGGCCAAGUCUGUGGUGAAAUCGCUCGGCUCAACUGGGCGGGGUCCAUGGAAACUGGUCAGCUGGAGGACGGUAGAGGUGAGUGGAAUUCCCGGUGUAGUGGUGAAAUGCGUAGAGAUCGGGAGGAACACCUGUGGCGAAGGCGGCCCCCUGGGCCGGCCCUGACACUGAGACGCGAAGGCGUGGGGAGCGAACGGG
rnacentral:rRNA from 1 species